GACAGAGGUGCCGAGCGUUAGGCGGAAUCACUGGGCUUAAAGCGUGUGUAGGCGGACCGUUAAGUACCUUGUGAAAUCCCCCGGCUCAACCGGGGAACGGCUGGGUAUACUGGCGGUCUUGAGCCAUCCAGGGGCAGUCGGAACAGACGGUGGAGCGGUGAAAUGUGUAGAUAUCGUCUGGAACGCCGAAGGUGAAAACAGACUGCUGGGGAUGCGCUGACGCUGAGACACGAAAGCCAGGGGAGCGAACGGG
rnacentral:rRNA from 1 species